UACGAAGGGUGCAAGCGUUACUCGGAAUUACUGGGCGUAAAGCGUGCGUAGGCGGUUUGUUAAGUCCGCUGUGAAAGCCCUGGGCUCAACCUGGGAAUUGCAGUGGAUACUGGCAAGCUAGAGUGCGGUAGAGGAUGGUGGAAUUCCAGGUGUAGCGGUGAAAUGCGUAGAUAUCUGGAGGAACACCGGUGGCGAAGGCGGCAUCCUGGACCGGCAUUGACGCUGAGGCGCGAAAGCCAGGGGAGCAAACGGG
rnacentral:rRNA from 1 species